UUUUUUUACAAACUGAUAGAUGAAACUGCAUGGAUGAGCUCGAGGCACCUUGACAUGGCCAUGUUUCUAAUACGCAAAAGACAACUCUCUCAUCCUCAACUAUUUGGAAGGGAGUGGACAACCGCCGAGUUUUGUCUGCAGCAAUUUUUACAGCCGUUUGCAAUGCCAAGUGGCAAACGAGUCACGAGGAAAC